GUUAAAUAAUUUAAAACAAAAAUAAUUACCUUGAAAGUAAAAAAUGGACCAACCUUUAACUUG
rnacentral:tRNA from 1 species